rnacentral:lncRNA from 1 species
GUAGGAUCUCUCCAUCCUUAUUGCUUCAUGGAAGCACUCACUAGUGUACUCGCGAAGGGUGCGGAGCUCCCUAACUCGCGCACGCGCGCGGGCGCGUGGCGUGGGCGAUGAGGCGCAAUGUGGCGCUUUGAUGGCGCACUUUGCACUUCGCAUCGCCGCGAGCCGCUUGAGAGCCGCCUUUGUAUUUUUGACCGCGCGCGCGUGGUGAAGCACAAGGGUUGCAAGGACCAAGUGGUUGGUGAUGUGGGAUGCAUGCACAUGACCCUGGUGGGUCCGCGUGCAGAGGCGCAUGACGUGGCAGUCAUGCGCGCACGCGCGCGAGUACACAUGAAGGCGCGCGGUUGCGCGCAUGGUGCAUGGGCCUGAUGUGACGUGCGCGGCGCACCAAAGUGAGCCAAAACUGCGCGACUGUGUGGCGUGCUCGUAGAGGCUCACAUGUGACGUGGUGCACGCGCGCAUGCGCACAUGGACCUGAGUGGGUAUGGCGCACGCGCGCAUGGCAGUGAGCCAAGUGGAUGCACCGCGCAUGCGGGUGCAGACCUGCGCGCACGCGCAUGGCAGUGAGCCAAGUGGACGCACCGCGCAUGCGGGUGCAGACCUACGCGCGCGCGCGC